CAGUCGAGCGAACAGAUAAGGAGCUUGCUCCUUUGACGUUAGCGGCGGACGGGUGAGUAACACGUGGGUAACCUACCUAUAAGACUGGAAUAACUCCGGGAAACCGGGGCUAAUGCCGGAUAACAUUUAGAACCGCAUGGUUCUAAAGUGAAAGAUGGUUUUGCUAUCACUUAUAGAUGGACCCGCGCCGUAUUAGCUAGUUGGUAAGGUAAUGGCUUACCAAGGCAACGAUACGUAGCCGACCUGAGAGGGUGAUCGGCCACACUGGAACUGAGACACGGUCCAGACUCCUACGGGAGGCAGCAGUAGGGAAUCUUCCGCAAUGGGCGAAAGCCUGACGGAGCAACGCCGCGUGAGUGAUGAAGGGUUUCGGCUCGUAAAACUCUGUUAUUAGGGAAGAACAAACGUGUAAGUAACUGUGCACGUCUUGACGGUACCUAAUCAGAAAGCCACGGCUAACUACGUGCCAGCAGCCGCGGUAAUACGUAGGUGGCAAGCGUUAUCCGGAAUUAUUGGGCGUAAAGCGCGCGUAGGCGGUUUCUUAAGUCUGAUGUGAAAGCCCACGGCUCAACCGUGGAGGGUCAUUGGAAACUGGGAGACUUGAGUGCAGAAGAGGAAAGUGGAAUUCCAUGUGUAGCGGUGAAAUGCGCAGAGAUAUGGAGGAACACCAGUGGCGAAGGCGACUUUCUGGUCUGUAACUGACGCUGAUGUGCGAAAGCGUGGGGAUCAAACAGGAUUAGAUACCCUGGUAGUCCACGCCGUAAACGAUGAGUGCUAAGUGUUAGGGGGUUUCCGCCCCUUAGUGCUGCAGCUAACGCAUUAAGCACUCCGCCUGGGG
rnacentral:rRNA from 1 species